ACAGGGAAUAGCCCAGCACCGAAUCUCUGGCGCCGAGCGCGCCAGCGAAAUGUGGUGUUCAGGAGGGUCCGUAAUUCCGGGGCUCGCCUCGCCGAGUCCAAGUCCUUCUUGAACGGGGCCACGGUCCGCAGAGGGUGCCAGACCCGUAGCGGCCGGUGGCGUCCCCGGGUGGACCUCUCCUUAGAGUCGGGUUGCUUGAGAGUGCAGCCUAAAGCGGGUGGUAAACUCCAUCUAAGGCUAAAUAUCACCACGAGACCGAUAGCGAACAAGUACCGUGAGGGAAAGUUGAAAAGAACUUUGAAGAGAGAGUUCAAUAGUACGUGAAACCGUUCAGGGGUAAACGGGGAAGACUUGAAAAUCCGAAAGGAGAGAUUCACGUCUUCCGCCGGUCCCGUCGAGCCCGUCCGCGUAUGGUCGUACCCCCUCGCUCUGGCUUCGGCCCGGGCGUCGGCGGGUCGGCCGGCCGGGCGGGCGAGGCGGUUCCGCGGAGGACCGCACUUCUCUCCCAGUAGGACGUCGCGACCCGUUCGGAGGCAUGCCUGAUGCCCGGCCGCGAGUCUCGAGCCGCCGCGGCCUCCUGGCCGCCGGCGCUCGAGCUGGCUGAGGCAAGGCGGCGUUACGGACGGUAGUUGUAGACGGUGCUGGACCGCUCCUCGGAGCGCUCCCGGCCACCCUCGAGUCGGUCGCUGAGCGCCGGCCGCGGGCCUCCCGGGGCCCGCGCCGCCUCGCCUCCGGCUGGCGGGGGGGGGGGUCCUGGGGGCCGAGUCCACGUCACCCGUCGGGGAACGCCGCAGUUUCGAGCUCUUACCCGACCCGUCUUGAACACGGACCAAGGAGUCCAACGUGUGCGCGAGUCGUUGGGCGUUAAAACCCAAAGGCGCAAUCAAGGUGAAGGGAAGUUCUCUUCCCCAGGGAGGAGGGGGGCCCGCCGCGGUCCCCCGCACUCCCGGGGCGUCUCCGGCUCAUUGCGAGCGGAGGCGCACCUAGAGCGUUCGCGUUGGGACCCGAAAGAUGGUGAACUAUGCCUGGCCAGGACGAAGCCAGGGGAAACCCUGGUGGAGGUCCGUAGCGGUUCUGACGUGCAAAUCGAUCGUCGGAGCUGGGUAUAGGGGCGAAAGACUAAUCGAACCAUCUAGUAGCUGGUUCCCUCCGAAGUUUCCCUCAGGAUAGCUGGCGCCCAGGUUGAGACGAGUCUCAUCUGGUAAAGCGAAUGAUUAGAGGCAUUGGGGUCGAAACGACCUCAACCUAUUCUCAAACUUUAAAUGGAUGAGAACCCCGGCUUGCUUGAUCGAGUGAAGCCGGGGCUCGGAUCCGGGUGCCAAGUGGGCCAAUUUUGGUAAGCAGAACUGGCGCUGUGGGAUGAACCAAACGCGGAGUUAAGGCGCCUAAAUCGACGCUCAUCAGACACCAUGAAAGGCGUUGGUUGCUUAAGACAGCAGGACGGUGGCCAUGGAAGUCGGAAUCCGCUAAGGAGUGUGUAACAACUCACCUGCCGAAGCAACUAGCCCUGAAAAUGGAUGGCGCUGUAGCGUCGUGCCUAUACUCCGCCGCCAACGGCAAACCCGGCGCGGUCCCGCGAGGGGCCGGUCGCCGUUACGCCUUGGUGAGUAGGAGGGCCGCGGCGAUGUGCGUAGAAGGGUCUAGGCGCGAGCCUGCCUGGAGCCGUCGCCGGCGCAGAUCUUGGUGGUAGUAGCAAAUACUCCAGCGAGGCCCUGGAGGACUGAUGUGGAGAAGGGUUUCUUGUGAACAGCCGUUGCACAAGAGUCAGUCGGUCCUAAGCCCUAGGAGAAAUCCGAUGCCGAUGGGCGCCGUUACUUGUCCGACACCGAGACUUCGGGCUCCUUCGGGUGUACGCGCGAGAGCUCUCAGGCUCUCGCGCGUGCCGCUCGCUUGUGAGCCCGGUGGUCGAGAGGUCCGCGACGCUGGUGGCGCCCUUGGUCGGGCGAAAGGGAAUCCGGUUCCUAUUCCGGAACCUGGCCGCGGAACCGUUCCAAGUCGGGCCCUCUGACGAGAGCUCGUCGGGGUAACCAAAAAGGACCCGGAGACGCCGUCGGGAGAUCCAGGGAGAGUUGUCUCUUCUCUAUAAGCGUUCGAGUUCCCUGGAAACCUCUAGCAGGGAGAUAGGGUUUGGAGCGCAAAGAGCACCGCAGUUACGGCGGUGUCUGGAUCUUCCCCUCGGACCUUGAAAAUCCGGGUGAGGGCUACGAGGAACACCGCGCCAGACCGUACCCAUAUCCGCAGCAGGUCUCCAAGGUGAACAGCCUCUAGUCGUUAGUAUAAUGUGGGUAAGGGAAGUCGGCAAACUGGAUCCGUAACCUUGGGAUAAGGAUUGGCUCUGAGGAUCGUGGUGAGCCGGGCUUGGUUGGGAAGUGGAGCGGUGUCAACGAUCCGGGCCUGGGCGAGGAGAGCGGCGUUCCGGCGUCCGCGAUCCUCUGCUCGGUCCCGCGACUUGGCCACCCACGGAUCUUCCUUGCUGCGAGCUGUCGGCCGCCCAGUCGCC
rnacentral:rRNA from 1 species